AGUGAACGCUGGCGGUAGGCCUAACACAUGCAAGUCGAACGGCAGCACACUAAGAGCUUGCUCUUACGGGUGGCGAGUGGCGGACGGGUGAGGAAUACAUCGGAAUCUACUUUUUCGUGGGGGAUAACGUAGGGAAACUUACGCUAAUACCGCAUACGACCUACGGGUGAAAGCAGGGGAUCUUCGGACCUUGCGCGAUUGAAUGAGCCGAUGUCGGAUUAGCUAGUUGGCGGGGUAAAGGCCCACCAAGGCGACGAUCCGUAGCUGGUCUGAGAGGAUGAUCAGCCACACUGGAACUGAGACACGGUCCAGACUCCUACGGGAGGCAGCAGUGGGGAAUAUUGGACAAUGGGCGCAAGCCUGAUCCAGCCAUACCGCGUGGGUGAAGAAGGCCUUCGGGUUGUAAAGCCCUUUUGUUGGGAAAGAAAAGCAGCAGGUUAAUACCCCGCUGUUCUGACGGUACCCAAAGAAUAAGCACCGGCUAACUUCGUG
rnacentral:rRNA from 1 species